rnacentral:rRNA from 1 species
CACGGGGGGAGCAAGCGUUGUUCGGAAUCACUGGGCGUAAAGGGCGUGUAGGCGGUCAGGUAAGUGAGAUGUGAAAUGCCCCGGCUCACCCGGGGACCGGCAUCUCAUACUGCUUGGCUUGAGUACGGGAGAGGAUGUGGGAAUUCCUGGUGUAGCGGUGAAAUGCGUAGAUAUCUGGAGGAACACCGGUGGCGAAGGCGGCGUUCUGGACUGCAACUGACACUGAUGAACGAAAGCCAGGGGAGCAAACGGG